rnacentral:misc_RNA from 1 species
GAUGAAGAAGCAGCGAAAUGCGAUAAGUAAUGUGAAUUGCAGAAUUCAGUGAAUCAUCGAAUCUUUGAACGCACAUUGCGCCCCUUGGUAUUCCGGGGGGCAUGCCUGUUCGAGCGUCAUUAUCACCCCUCAAGCUCAGCUUGGUGUUGGGGCCUGCCCGUCACAGGGCAGCCCUUAAAAGCAGUGGCGGUGCCAUCUGGCUCUACGCGUAGUAAUACUUCUCGCGACAGAGUCCCGGUGGUGUCCUGCCAGAACCCCCCAUAUUUUUAAUGAUUGACCUCGGAUCAGGUAGGGAUACCCGCUGAACUUAAGCAUAUCAAUAAGCGGAGGA